CUCCAGACUCCUACGGGAGGCAGCAGUGGGGAAUAUUGCACAGUGGGGGAAACCCUGAUGCAGCGACGCCGCGUGAGCGAAGAAGUAUUUCGGUAUGUAAAGCUCUAUCAGCAGGGAAGAAAUUGACGGUACCUGAGUAAGAAGCUCCGGCUAAAUACGUGCCAGCAGCCGCGGUAAUACGUAUGGAGCAAGCGUUAUCCGGAUUUACUGGGUGUAAAGGGAGCGUAGGCGGCCUGCCAAGUCUGAUGUGAAAUGCCGGGGCUCAACCCCGGGGCUGCAUUGGAAACUGGCAGGCUGGAGUGUCGGAGAGGCAGGCGGAAUUCCUAGUGUAGCGGUGAAAUGCGUAGAUAUUAGGAGGAACACCAGUGGCGAAGGCGGCCUGCUGGACGAUGACUGACGCUGAGGCUCGAAAGCGUGGGGAGCAAACAGGAUUAGAUACCCCCGUAU
rnacentral:rRNA from 1 species